AGGACGAACGCUGGCGGCGUGCUUAACACAUGCAAGUCGAGCGGAAAGGCCCUUCGGGGUACUCGAGCGGCGAACGGGUGAGUAACACGUGAGCAACCUGCCCUUAGCUCCGGGAUAGCUCCGGGAAACCGGAAUUAAUACCGGAUACAACACCGGCCGACAUCGGCCGGUGUGGAAAGAAUUUCGGCUAGGGAUGGACUCGCGGCCUAUCAGCUAGUUGGUGGGGUAAAGGCCUACCAAGGCGACGACGGGUAGCCGGCCUGAGAGGGCGACCGGCCACGACUGGGACUGAGACGCGGCCCAGACUCCUACGGGAGGCAGCAGUGGGGAAUCUUGCGCAAUGGGCGAAAGCCUGACGCAGCGACGCCGCGUGGGGGAUGAAGGCCUUCGGGUUGUAAACCCCUUUCAGCAGGGACGAAGCGAAAGUGACGGUACCUGCAGAAGAAGCGCCGGCUAACGUACGUGCCAGCAGCCGC
rnacentral:rRNA from 1 species